GCAGGCGAAUGAAUUAUAUAUGAAGUGCUUUGAGAUUUGUGUAGACAAAUGGAUCAUAAAUUGAGCCUUUAAAAUCUGUGCAGGCAAAUAGAUGAUAAAGAAUAGAACUCUUUCUACAUGAAAAAAAUAAAACUCUUUGAGAUAUGUGCAUGCGGAUGGACGAUUGAGGCUAGAGCACUUUAAGAUCUCUACUGGUAAAUGAUGAUAAAUGAUGGAGUGCUUUAAGAUCAAUACAAGUGGAUGAA
rnacentral:lncRNA from 1 species